rnacentral:rRNA from 1 species
AGAGUUUGAUCAUGGCUCAGAACGAACGCUGGCGGCAGGCCUAACACAUGCAAGUCGAGCGCCCUAGCAAUAGGGAGCGGCAGACGGGUGAGUAACACGUGGGAACCUUCCCUAUAGUACGGAAUAGCCCAGGGAAACUUGGAGUAAUACCGUAUACGCCCGAGAGGGGAAAGAUUUAUCGCUAUAGGAUGGGCCCGCGUAGGAUUAGCUAGUUGGUGAGGUAAUGGCUCACCAAGGCGACGAUCCUUAGCUGGUCUGAGAGGACGACCAGCCACACUGGGACUGAGACACGGCCCAGACUCCUACGGGAGGCAGCAGUGGGGAAUUUUGGACAAUGGGCGCAAGCCUGAUCCAGCCAUGCCGCGUGCGGGAAGAAGGCCUUCGGGUUGUAAACCGCUUUUGUCAGGGAAGAAACGGUUCGCACUAAUACUGCAAACUAAUGACGGUACCUGAAGAAUAAGCACCGGCUAACUACGUGCCAGCAGCCGCGGUAAAACGUAGGGGACAAGCGUUAUCCGGAUUUACUGGGCGUAAAGCGCAUGUAGGUGGCGCGGAAAGUUGGACGUGAAAGCUCCCGGCUUAACUGGGAGAGGUCGUACAAAACUACCGUGCUUGAGGAUGAAAGAGGAGAGCGGAAUUCCCGGUGUGGUGGUGGAAUGCGUAGAUAUCGGGAGGAACACCAGUGGCGAAAGCGGCUCUCUGGUUCAAACCUGACACUGAGAUGCGAAAGCGUGGGGAGCGAACGGGAUUAGGUACCCCGGUAGUCCACGCUGUAAACGAUGGCUACUAGGUGUAGGCGGUCAUUAACCCCGUCUGCGCCGAAGCUAACGCGUUAAGUAGCCCGCCUGGGGACUACGGCCGCAAGGUUAAAACUCAAAGGAAUUGGCGGGGGCCCGCACAAGCAGCGGAGCGUGUGGUUUAAUUCGAUGAUACGCGAAGAACCUUACCUGGGUUUGACAUAGGGGUAGUAGCGAGGUGAAAGCCGAGCGACCCUUCGGGGAGCCUCUACAGGUGCUGCAUGGCUGUCGUCAGCUCGUGUCGUGAGAUGUUGGGUUAAGUCCCGCAACGAGCGCAACCCUCGUCGUUAGUUACAAGUGUCUAACGAGACUGCUGGUUUCAAACCGGAGGAAGGUGGGGAUGACGUCAAGUCAGCAUGGUCUUUAUGUCCAGGGCUACACACACGCUACAAUGGCCGGUACAAUGGGUUGCCACACCGCAAGGUGGCGCUAAUCCUCAAAGCCGGUCUCAGUUCAGAUUGUCGUCUGCAACUCGACGGCAUGAAGGUGGAGUUGCUAGUAACCGCGCGUCAGCCAUAGUGCGGUGAAUGCGUUCCCGGGCCUUGUACACACCGCCCGUCACAUCAUGGGAGUCGGUAACACCUGAAGUCGGUGACCUAACCGUAAGGGAGGAGCUGCCUAAGGUGGGAUCGGUGACUGGGAUGAAGUCGUAACAAGGUAACCGUA